GGUCAAUGGUCUAACGACUGAACCAGCAACUUGGAGGAACACGCAUGGCUACCUUCUAAAGUAAGGUUUUGUCUUCUUGGAACAUGCACUGGAUACUUUAAUGUAUAUAUAGUUCUAGAUAGAUAAAUGAUAAAUGACAACUUUCUAUCUAUGUUGUCUUGACCAAAUCUUGUGCCAGCAGUCGCGGUAAUACAAGGGAGACUAGUGUUAUUCAUCUUUAUUAGGUUUAAAGGGUACCUAGACGGUGUAUCUAGCCUGCGAGGGAACGGAUACGACUAGAGUUUUAUGUGGGAGGUAAAUAUCGUACUAUGUGUGUAGAGAUAAAAUUCUUUGAUAAUACGUAGGACUGGUAAUGGUGAAAGCAAUCCUCUAUGUAAAAACUGACGUUGAGGGACGAAGGCUUGGAUAGCAAACAGGAUUAGAUACCCUAGUAGUCCUUGCAGAAAAUGAUGAAUGCCAUAAGUUAGAUACUAAAAAGGAAGGAUAAGACUUUGUAUUGUGAGACUACCUUCUCUUUUUUUGGCUUAUAAAUGAAAGUGUAAGCAUUCCACCUCAAGAGUAAUGUGGCAACGCAGAAACUGAAAUCAUUAGACCGUUUCUGAAACCAGUAGUGAAGUAUGUUAUU
rnacentral:rRNA from 1 species